CAGAAUGAAUCGCGCUGUUAGAACCUUCAUUUGGAUACAUAAAGUAGUGUAGAAUCACCAGGAAGUUGAAUAAAUCUCAUAGGAGUUAGGAUGAAGAAGUUAACCCACUCUCAAAUAAGGUGAUCCUAGUUUUCCUGUUUGGGAAUAUGACAACUUCUUCGACAUCCUAUUCAAACCAGGAUGAAUCGCGAUGUACAAAGCUUGAUUUGGAUACAUAAAGUAGUGGAGAAUCACCAGGAAGUUGAAUAUAUCUCAUAGGAGUUAGGAUGAAGAAGUUAUCCCACUUUCAAAUAAGGUGAUCUCAGUUUCCCUGUUUGGGAAUAUGACAACUUCUUCGUCAUUCUAAUCAAACCAGGAUGAAUCACGAUCUAAGAACCUUCAUUUGGAUACAUAAAGUAGUGGAGAAUCACCAGGAAGUUGAAUAAAUCUCAUAGGAGUUAGGAUGAAGAAGUUAUCUCACUUUCAAAUAAGGUGAUCCCAGUUUUCCUGUUUGGGUAUAUGACAACUUCUUCGACAUCCUAAUUAAACCAGGAUGAAUCGCGAUGUACAAAGCUUGAUUUGGAUACAUAAAGUAGUGAAGAAUCACCAGGUAGUUGAAUAAAUCUCAUAGGAGUUAGGAUGAAGAAGUUAUCCCAUUUUCAAAUAAGGUGAUCCCAGUUUCCCUGUUUGGGAAUAUGACAACUUCUUUGUCAUUCUAAUCAAACCAGGAUGAAUCACGAUGUAAGAACCUUUAUUUGG
rnacentral:lncRNA from 1 species